rnacentral:rRNA from 1 species
UACGGAGGGAGCUUGCGUUGUUCGGAAUUACUGGGCGUAAAGCGCACGUAGGCGGCUAUUCAAGUCAGAGGUGAAAGCCCGGGGCUCAACCCCGGAACUGCCUUUGAAACUAGGUAGCUAGAAUCUUGGAGAGGUCAGUGGAAUUCCGAGUGUAGAGGUGAAAUUCGUAGAUAUUCGGAAGAACACCAGUGGCGAAGGCGACUGACUGGACAAGUAUUGACGCUGAGGUGCGAAAGCGUGGAGAGCAAACAGG